rnacentral:rRNA from 1 species
AUUGAACGCUGGCGGCAGGCCUAACACAUGCAAGUCGAGCGAGCGGCGGACGGGUGAGUAAUGUAUGGGGACUGCCCGCUAGAGGGGGAUAACUACUGGAAACGGUAGCUAAUACCGCAUACUAUCUUAUAACCCAUAGGGGAUUAGCUAGUAGGUGGGGUAAUGGCUCACCUAGGCGACGAUCCCUAGCUGGUUUGAGAGGAUGAUCAGCCACACUGGGACUGAGACACGGCCCAGACUCCUACGGAGACAGCAGUGGGGAAGAUUGCACAAUGGGCGAAAGCCUGAUGCAGCCAUGCCGCGUGUAUGAUGAAGGCCCUAGGGUUGUAAAGUACUUUUAGUCGGGAGGCGUUAACGACAGAAGAAGCACCGGCUAACUACGUGCCAGCAGCCGCGGUAAUAC